GGUGAACGCUGGCGGCGUGCCUAAUACAUGCAAGUCGAGCGAACGGAUAAGGAGCUUGCUCCUUUGAAGUUAGCGGCGGACGGGUGAGUAACACGUGGGUAACCUACCUAUAAUACUGGAAUAACUUCGGGAAACCGGAGCUAAUGCCGGAUAACAUUUGGAACUGCAUGGUUCUAAAGUAAAAGCUGGUUUUGCUAUCACUUAUAGCUGGACACGCGCCGUAUUAGCUAGUUGGUAAGGUAACGGCUUACCAAGUCAACGAUACGUGGCCGACCUGAGAGGGUGAUCGGCCACACUGGAACUGAGACACGGUCCAGACUCCUACGGGAGGCAGCAGUAGGGAAUCUUCCGCAAUGGACGAAAGUCUGACGGAGCAACGCCGCGUGAGUGAUGAAGAUUUUCGGAUCGUAAAACUCUGUUAUUAGGGAAGAACAAAUGUGUAAGUAACUGUGCACAUCUUGACGGUACCUAAUCAGAAAGCCACGGCUAACUACGUGCCAGCCGCCGCCGUAA
rnacentral:rRNA from 1 species